AACGAACGCUGGCGGCGCGCCUAACACAUGCAAGUCGAACGAGAAGGCGUAGCGAAUACGCUUGUAGAGUGGCGAACGGGUGAGUAAUACGUGGGUGACCUACCCUCGAGUGGGGAAUAACCCGCCGAAAGGCGGGCUAAUGCCGCGUACGCUUCCGUCCUCACGGGGACGAAGGAAAGCGUGUACCGUGGGUACGCGCUCAAGGAUGGGCUCACGUCCUAUCAGCUUGUUGGUAGGGUAACGGCCACCAAGGCUACGACGGUAGCUGGUCUGAGAGGACGAUCAGCCACACUGGGACUGAGACA
rnacentral:rRNA from 1 species